rnacentral:misc_RNA from 1 species
AACGCAACUUGCGCCCUUCCCUCGGGAAGGGCAUGUCUGCCUCAGCGUCGGCUUCAACCCUCGCAGGUCGUUCACUCCUUGUGAGUGAACGUCCUAGCGGACCUGGCCCUCUCACCCCCGGCGUCCCGAUCGGUGGGUGGGCUGAAGCGCAGAGGCUCGAGCAUGGACCCCGUUCGCAGGGCGUCGACUUGGCAGGUAGGGUUCCCUACACCCGCUGUCGACGUCCGAGGGGCUCGUGCUGGAGGCCCAGCAGGAACCGAGGCGCGCGGGCGGUCGAGUGGAGGAGAGGAGGGAGCUCUGGAAGCGCCCCCCCCCCCGACCCGACGACCGGCCCCGCCCUCGGCAACCCACCUCGUUCACGACCUGAGCUCAGGCAAGGCUACCCGCUGAACUUAA